rfam:Medicago truncatula strain A17 chromosome 1, whole genome shotgun sequence.
AGCCGUGUGAUAAUGACAUAGCGAACUAUUCUUUCGCCUUUUACUAAAGAAUACCGUGUCAGUGUCACAUUUAGCGGCAUACGCUAGUUUUUGGAAGAGUCCUCUUUACGGAGGGCU